AAAGUCCGUCUUCCUUUCUGCCAACUCUUUCUCAUCAAAGUAUGGCUUGACAAAUGUGACCUGAAUGUAGGCAAAUUUUGGGUCCAGAUCUUUCUGGUUUACCUGCAGGCAAUAAAAGCAAGCUGAGAUAGCCGGCCAGAUCCAACUCCGUUCCUACUUGGUGUUGGACUCCACUGCUAUUUGUCUCUGAGGGAUGAUGACUAAAUGCAGCCGGUGCCAGUCUAUUACGAUGGACUUCUGGGAAUGAACUGAUGCCAACUCCAACCAUAAGACAUGUGCUACUUCAUAUGCCACUGCCUGAACCGUGGACUUAGGAUGGACCUCACCAAAAUUACCGGCUGAUUGAACUGUCGAAGCACCGCACUAAUCUUGGCCUGCAUCACCUUAGUCUAAUGAUGGACUACACUCUUAAAAUGUAAUACAAUAAAUUGCCAACAAAAGCCUUCAUCAGCCAACUAACAAAGGACAAUGCAUCUAUGUGAACUUCUGCAGUUAAUCCAGGAUGAACUUCAAAGACAUUAGUAAUUAAUCUUACAGUUCUUACAAAAUCUUUGUUUAAACACUGACCCUUAACACUUACUUAGUUUACUAAUUUUAAACCAUGACUUGCACUAUACAUAAUUAAGUAAUAUUGGCAUUGUAUUCAUGUUGUUAGCCAGAGGGGAACUGGCCCCCACAGUGAGCCUGGUUUCUCCAAAAGUUAUUUUUCUCCAUUAACAAACAUCUUAUGGAGUUUCGUGUUCCUUUCCACAGUCACCUUCAGCUUGCUCACAGGGGUUCUAAAUACGAUUAUGAUAUAAUUAUUCAAUUUAUUUAUUUUUAUACACAAUAUAAAGUUUGGAAUAAUGUACAGAUUUUGCUAUUAUGGAAAGAAAUUGGUACUUUUAUUCAAAAGUGGCAUUCAACUUAUCACAAUAUAUAGUCAGGACAUUAAUAAUGUGAAAAAUUACUAUUACAAUUUGAAAAAAAUAUUCAUAACUUCUUAAACUACUUCAAAGAGUUCUCAUCAAAAAAUCCUCCAUGUGCAGUAAUGACAGCUUUACAGAUCCUUGGCAUUCUAGCUGUCAGUUUGUCCAGAUACUCAGGUGACAUUUCACCCCACACUUCCUGUAGCACUUGCCAUAGAUGUGGCUGUCUUGUCGGCACUUCUCACGCACCUUACAGUCUAGCUGAUCCCACAAAAGCUCAAUGGGAUUAAGAUCCAUAACACUCUUUUCCAAUUAUCUGUUGUCCAAUGUCUGUGUUUCUUUGCCCACUCUAACCUUUUCUUUUUGUUUUUCUGUUUCAAAAGUGGCUUUUUCUUUGCAAUUCUUCCCAUACGGCCUGCACCCCUGAGUCUUCUCUUUACUGUUGUACAUGAAACUGGUGUUGAGCGGGUAGAAUUCAAUGGAGCUGUCAGCUGAGGACAUGUGAGGCAUCUAUUUCUCAAACUAGAGACUCUGAUGUACUUAUCCUCUUAUUUAGUUGUACAUCUGGCCUUCCACAUCUCUUUCUCUCCUUGUUAGAGCCAGUUGCCCUUUGAAGACUGUAGUGUACACCUUUGUAUGAAAUCUUCAGUUUUUUGGGCAAUUUCAAGCAUUGUAUAGCCUUCAUUCCUCAAAACAAUGAUUGACUGACGAGUUUCUAGAGAAAGCUGUUUCUUUUUUGCCAUUUUUGA